UCGAAUCGCAUGGCCUUGCGCCGGCGACGGUUCAUUCAAAUUUCUGCCCUAUCAACUUUCGAUGGUAAGGUAUUGGCUUACCAUGGUUUCAACGGGUAACGGGGAAUUAGGGUUCGAUUCCGGAGAGGGAGCCUGAGAAACGGCUACCACAUCCAAGGAAGGCAGCAGGCGCGCAAAUUACCCAAUCCCGACACGGGGAGGUAGUGACAAUAAGUACUGAUACAGGGCUCUUUUGGGUCUUGUAAUCGGAAUGAGUACAAUUUAAACCCCUUAACGAGGAACAAUUGGAGGGCAAGUCUGGUGCCAGCAGCCGCGGUAAUUCCAGCUCCAAUAGCGUAUAUUAAAGUUGUUGCAGUUAAAAAGCUCGUAGUUGAACCUUGGGCCUGGCUGGCCGGUCCGCCUCACCGCGUGUACUGGUCCGGCCGGGCCUUUCCUUCUGGAGAGCCCCAUGCCCUUCACUGGGUGUGCGGGGGAACCAGGACUUUUACUUUGAAAAAAUUAGAGUGUUCAAAGCAGGCCUUUGCUCGAAUACGUUAGCAUGGAAUAAUAGAAUAGGACGUGCGAUCCUAUUUUGUUGGUUUCUAGGACCGCCGUAAUGAUUAAUAGGGACAGUCGGGGGCGUCAGUAUUCAAUUGUCAGAGGUGAAAUUCUUGGAUUUAUUGAAGACUAACUACUGCGAAAGCAUUUGCCAAGGAUGUUUUCAUUAAUCGGUGAACGAAAGUUAGGGGAUCGAAGACGAUCAGAUACCGUCGUAGUCUUAACCGUAAACUAUGCCGACUAGGGAUCGGGCGAUGUUUUUAUCUUGACUCGCUCGGCACCUUACGAG
rnacentral:rRNA from 1 species